AGGCUCGUAGUGAAAUGGCAUCACUUCCCUCUCCAAAAGGGACAUUCCGGGUUCAAAUCCUGGCGAGCCUG
rfam:Candidate division WWE3 bacterium RAAC2_WWE3_1 chromosome, complete genome.